rnacentral:rRNA from 1 species
GACGAACGCUGGCGGCGUGCUUAACACAUGCAAGUCGAACGCUGAAGGCCCAGCUUGCUGGGUUGGAUGAGUGGCGAACGGGUGAGUAACACGUGAGUAACCUGCCCCCUUCUUUGGGAUAACGGUCGGAAACGGCUGCUAAUACCGGGUAUUCACUGUCCUUCGCAUGGGGGGUGGUGGAAAGGUUUUUUCUGGUGGAGGAUGGGCUCGCGGCCUAUCAGCUUGUUGGUGGGGUGAUGGCUUACCAAGGCUUUGACGGGUAACCGGCCUGAGAGGGUGACCGGUCACAUUGGGACUGAGAUACGGCCCAGACUCCUACGGGAGGCAGCAGUGGGGAAUAUUGCACAAUGGGCGAAAGCCUGAUGCAGCGACGCCGCGUGAGGGAUGGAGGCCUUCGGGUUGUAAACCUCUUUCGCUCAUGGUCAAGCCGCAACUUUGGGUUGUGGUGAGGGUAGUGGGUAAAGAAGCACCGGCUAACUACGUGCCAGCAGCCGCGGUAAUACGUAGGGUGCGAGCGUUGUCCGGAAUUAUUGGGCGUAAAGGGCUUGUAGGCGGUUUGUCGCGUCUGCCGUGAAAUCCUCUGGCUUAACUGGGGGCGUGCGGUGGGUACGGGCAGGCUUGAGUGCGGUAGGGGAGACUGGAACUCCUGGUGUAGCGGUGGAAUGCGCAGAUAUCAGGAAGAACACCGGUGGCGAAGGCGGGUCUCUGGGCCGUUACUGACGCUGAGGAGCGAAAGCGUGGGGAGCGAACAGG